AGCAGCCGCGGUAAUUCCAGCUCCAAUAGCGUAUAUUAAAGUUGUUGCAGUUAAAAGCUCGUAGUUGAAUUUCGGGAUUUGUCAGUUGGUCGGGCUUCACUGUCCGUAUUGACUUGAUGGAUUCUUACCUUCUGAAUAACCAGCAUGCUAUUAAGUUAGUGCGUUGGGGAAGCAGAUCUAUUACCUUGAAAAAAUUAGAGUGCUUAAAGCGAGCUAGUGCUUGAAUAGAUUAGCAUGGAAUAAUAAAAUAGGACGGCAUGGUUCUAUUUUGUUGGUUUCUAGGAUCACCGUAAUGAUUAAUAGGGAUAGUUGGGGGCAUUAGUAUUCAAUUGUCAGAGGUGAAAUUCUUGGAUUUAUUGAAGACUAACUUCUGCGAAAGCAUUUGCCAAGGAUGUUUUCAUUAAUCAAGAACGAAAGUUAGGGGAUCGAAGACGAUCAGAUACCGUCGUAGUCUUAACCAUAAACUAUGCCGACUAGGAAUCGGACGAUGUUAAUUUUAUAAUGACUCGUUCGGCACCUU
rnacentral:rRNA from 1 species